rnacentral:rRNA from 1 species
AACGAACGCUGGCGGCAGGCUUAACACAUGCAAGUCGAACGCCCCGCAAGGGGAGUGGCAGACGGGUGAGUAACGCGUGGGAAUCUACCUAGUUCUACGGAACAACUGAGGGAAACUUCAGCUAAUACCGUAUACGCCCUACGGGGGAAAGAUUUAUCGGAAUUAGAUGAGCCCGCGUAAGAUUAGCUAGUUGGUGGGGUAAUGGCCUACCAAGGCGACGAUCUUUAGCUGGUCUGAGAGGAUGAUCAGCCACACUGGGACUGAGACACGGCACAGACUCCUACGGGAGGCAGUAGUGGGGAAUAUUGGACAAUGGGCGCAAGCCUGAUCCAGCCAUGCCGCGUGAGUGAUGAAGGCCUUAGGGUUGUAAAGCUCUUUCAGUGGGGAAGAUAAUGACGGUACCCACAGAAGAAGCCCCGGCUAACUUCGUGCCAGCCGCCGCUGUAAUAC